UACGUAGGGGGCGAGCGUUGUCCGGAGUUACUGGGCGUAAAGCGCGCGUAGGCGGUCAUUUAAGUCUGAGGUGAAAGGUUCAGCGCUCAACGUGAACAGUGCCUUGGAUACUGGGUGACUUGAGUUCGGGAGGGGGCAGUGGAAUUCCAGGUGUAGCGGUGAAAUGCGUAGAUAUCUGGAGGAACACCGAUGGCGAAGGCAGCUGCCUGGCCCAGAACUGACGCUGAGGUGCGAAAGCGUGGGGAGCGAACGGG
rnacentral:rRNA from 1 species